rnacentral:misc_RNA from 1 species
AUCGCGUCACCCCUCCUCCUACUUCGGUGGACGGGGUGGAAUGUGACCUCCUGUGCCGAGAGGUGCAGCUGGUCGAAAUUCGAGUCCGGAGCUUAGGAUGUCACGGCAAGUGGUGGUUGGAUAACAACUCGCGUGCUGUCGUGUGCCGAACCUCUUGCGGCUGUAAAGACCCUGAUGCACGUUCUGCACUCUCCUUAUGUGGAGUGGAGCUCGUGCUACGA